UUUUCUUCUGCAGAAAGAAAUUACUGGCUAACAAGACUUGCAGCAUCGACAGUGAAAUACCGAUUCCAAGUAUACCCGCUCUGGUCAUGCUAUCAAGGGCUCCUAAGUGUACUGGAGAUGACCGGACACCUUGCUAGGUAUACCCAUUUAGCAUAGAAACCCCUGGUGGUGAAACGAGGAAAGGACAUUCCUUACCCCCUGA